GCCAAUGGAUAUUUUAAUUCAAGACGGUAAAAAAAAUUUUGGCAUACAAUUUAAAUAAAGUUGGAGGAAACGGUAAUGUGUAUAAUUAGUGUGCUAACUCAUAAAACAAGUUAUGCGGCUUUUCAACGGAGCAACAACACAACCCUACAAAAAAAUUUAAUUUCUACAAGGAGAUCUGGAGCAAAUUAUGCCUUUCUUAAUAAAUAUAUUAAUAUUGAACAUACCGGAGUCUUGUACGGUAGCUAGGGUGGUCUUUAUUUCCAAGAAGCGAAGGUGCAAUACGACGACAAAAUCCUUCAGACAAAUUGGAUUCCAUGUUUUUUUUUGAAUGCAAGAUCACAAAAAAUACUUUAAUUAAAGAUGCGGAACCACAAAAUAACUUACGAGGCUCUUCAGCAAAGCAGAGUGUACGCAACAAAAUUCUUUAAAAACUAAACUUAGUAAGAGUAGACUAUUGAAUACCUGAGGAGGCGUCGGCAAAGAAUAGUAUUUCACUAGUACUAAUACAAAGAGAGCUGGAGCAAAUUAUGCCUUUCUUAAUAAAAAUAAAAGUUGUGGCAGAUGACUAGGGUUGUCUUUAUAUCCAUGGUGGGGAAGGAAGAACAUAGUGUCCAAUGCUUUCAGACGAAUUAAUGCUACAUCGCUUUUAUGAAGGUGAUGGAGAAGAUAAUAGACAAAUUUUAUCCAAAUCUCGUUGCUGGUAAGGAGGUCGCUGAGCGGUUGUCAGGAUGCGUAUCGGGGAGGAAGAGCAAGGAACAGAAACUGCACUGUUCCGGUUUAUCAAACAAAAGCGGGCGGGUGGAGUUUUACAAAUCUCUUGUUAUAAAUCUGUAAAUUUACAAGCCUGAACUCAAGCCUGAGGUUAAGAGAAUGUUCCCAAAUUUUUUAUUGGUAACGCUAAUGGACGGUAUUGAAAACUAAUGUAGCUGACACCAAGAGUGUUCAAUUCAAUAUUGAGAUACAUAAAAACGAGAAUUUUAUUCGAAAAUGGUGUGAAAGGCUUUAGAGUUACCUAUCAAAUUGUAAGCAGCACUCCGAAUGUUUCGCGUUCAAAAGUGAUAUAAAAGAGGUUAGUAGUCUACUUGAUUUACCUCUACAUGAUGAGGCGUGUCUCUAUGCAGAUGAUCUUGCAAUAAUUUUUAAGGCUUGGAGUUACCAAAAUAUGAAAAUAUGGAAAUCAAGACAUCAACAAGAUUUUUGAUUGGAUGUGCCACAGGCUAACAGUAAACAUAAGUAAAACAAUAAAUAUG